GACUAUGACCUUAUUAACUUGAACACACCUGAUCAUGAUUAAUUUCAGAAGCCAAGCACUUGGGAAUAGUUAGUACUUGGAUGGGGCCCUGGCUUCUAGUUGAAUAAUAUUGAAAACC
rnacentral:rRNA from 1 species